GAGUUUGAUCGUGGCUCAGAUUGAACGCUGGCGGCAUGCCUUACACAUGCAAGUCGAACGGCAGCGCGGGGCAACCUGGCGGCGAGUGGCGAACGGGUGAGUAAUAUAUCGGAACGUACCCUGGAGUGGGGGAUAACGUAGCGAAAGUUACGCUAAUACCGCAUACGAUCUAAGGAUGAAAGUGGGGGCUUCGCAAGAACCUCAUGCUCCUGGAGCGGCCGAUAUCUGAUUAGCUAGUUGGUGGGUAAAGGCCCACCAAGGCUUCGAUCAGUAGCUGGUCUGAGAGGACGACCAGCCACACUGGAACUGAGACACGGUCCAGACUCCUACGGGAGGCAGCAGUGGGGAAUUUUGGACAAUGGGCGCAAGCCUGAUCCAGCAAUGCCGCGUGAGUGAAGAAGGCCUGGUUGUAAGUCGUACUUGUCUAGGAGAAACGGUAGAGAG
rnacentral:rRNA from 1 species